ACCCUUAUCUCCCUUCCCUGACUCUCUUUUCGGACUCAGCCCACCUGCACCCAAGUGAUUAAAAGCUUUUAUUGCUCACACAAAGCCUGUUUGGUGGUCUCCUCACAUGGACACGCAUGAAAUUUGGUGCCAUGACUCGGAUCAGGGGACCUCCCUUGGGAGAUCAAUCCCCUGUCCUCCUGUUCUUUGCUCCAUGAAAAAGAUCCACCUACGACCUCAGGUCCUCAGACCCACCAGCCCAAGGAACAUUUCACCAAUUUUAAAUCGGAACAACUUCUCAAGAGAGUGCUCACUUGGAAGAAAUUCAUUCCUGGACUUAUCUGAGUACCCAGAAUGAUUACUAGCAGCUGACUGGGCAAAAAUCAAAAGGGAUGCAGUACUGAGAAGUCUGACAAGAAGAAAAACAAGUCAGCCAAACUCCACCUCAAACCAGUUUUGUGAAAAAAUAUAUAAAUUGCCAGAUCACUAAA
ensembl:lncRNA novel transcript